rnacentral:rRNA from 1 species
UACGAAGGGGGCUAGCGUUGCUCGGAAUUACUGGGCGUAAAGGGAGCGUAGGCGGACAUUUAAGUCAGGGGUGAAAUCCCAGAGCUCAACUCUGGAACUGCCUUUGAUACUGGGUGUCUUGAGUGUGAUAGAGGUAUGUGGAACUCCGAGUGUAGAGGUGAAAUUCGUAGAUAUUCGGAAGAACACCAGUGGCGAAGGCGACAUACUGGAUCAUUACUGACGCUGAGGCUCGAGAGCGUGGGGAGCAAACAGG